rnacentral:rRNA from 1 species
UACGAAGGGGGCUAGCGUUGCUCGGAAUGACUGGGCGUAAAGGGCGCGUAGGCGGCUCUCAUCGUCGGGCGUGAAAUUCCUGGGCUUAACCUGGGGGCUGCGUUCGAUACGUGGGGGCUUGAGUGUGGGGGAGGGUCGUGGAAUUCCCAGUGUAGAGGUGAAAUUCGUAGAUAUUGGGAAGAACACCGGUGGCGAAGGCGGCGACCUGGUCCAUGACUGACGCUGAGGCGCGAAAGCGUGGGGAGCAAACAGG